rnacentral:rRNA from 1 species
UACGGGGGGGGCAAGCGUUGUUCGGAAUUACUGGGCGUAAAGGGCGCGUAGGCGGUGCUCUAAGUUAGAUGUGAAAACUCUGGGCUCAACCCAGAGCCUGCAUCUAAAACUGGAGUGCUAGAGUUCUGGAGGGGGUAGCGGAAUUCCUGGUGUAGCGGUGAAAUGCGUAGAUAUCAGGAGGAACACCGGUGGCGAAGGCGGCUACCUGGACAGGUACUGACACUCAACUACGAAAGCGUGGGGAGCAAACAGG